rnacentral:lncRNA from 1 species
CAAACAUCAACGACAAAGUGUUGUUGGUGCAAGCAACUUUGCAGUGGCAAAUCAUUGGUGUAAAACAGUCAGGGUCCUGAACAACAAGGGACAUUCCUUUCGAGCUGCGGCAGUGGCAGCUCGCUGGGGGACCCGACCACGGUGCUCACCCGGCACAUGGAGCGACAGCCUAGAGGCGGCGGCCACUUCGAUCGCUGGCCCCGGCGCCCCGCGCGGCCAUCCCAGCGCCGGGGUAGAAGCCACGCCGCGGCAAUUUUUUAAGAAGAGGUGGUUCAUGGUGGAAGGGAAAAGCGUGUAAUGGACACCAGGAGCCAUGAUGUUUCUUCCUAUUGACUGCGUGACUUCGAGCAAGUUACUCCCUCUCUGAGCCACAGUUCCCUUGUCUGUUGAGAUGAAAUGGGUACGCUAGAGUAUCUCUAAGUUUGCUUUCAGUGCUGAAGUUCUCUGAGUGGUUCUUACAAAUAAAGGAUCUGAGAUGUAAAGGAAAUUUGAGAAG